GCCUGUAACAAAUUUAUCUCAUUGUGCGAGAGAAGACCAGACCUGAUCAAUCAAAGGAAGCUAGGUGUUGAGGAGCCAGUGGUCAGGGCUUCAUGGGGAUCUGACAUGUCAAUUGAUGACCCAUCUGCCACUUAGACCCCAUAAUGUUAGGGCCCACCAAUCCUCGUUACAAAAUAAACACCAACACCAGCAAGCCGGCCGAGAACAACAACUAGAUUUAACGCAAAGGCA
rnacentral:misc_RNA from 1 species